rnacentral:rRNA from 1 species
UGGGGAAUAUUGCGCAAUGGGCGAAAGCCUGACGCAGCGACGCCGCGUGAGCGAAGAAGGCUUUCGGGUUGUAAAGCUCAGUAAUCGGGGAGGACACGGACAGUACCGAAGGAGGAAGCCCCGGCUAACUACGUGCCAGCAGCCGCGGUAAUACGUAGGGGGCGAGCGUUGUCCGGAAUUACUGGGUGUAAAGGGCGUGUAGGCGGGGAUGCAAGUUACUGGUAAAAACCCGAGGUUCAACCACGGGCUUGCCGGUAAAACUGUAUCUCUUGAGUGUAGGAGAGGGAAGUGGAAUUCCCGGAGUAGCGGUGAAAUGCGUAGAUACCGGGAGGAACACCAGUGGCGAAGGCGGCUUCCUGGCCUACUACUGACGCUGAGGCGCGAAAGCUAGGGGAGCGAACGGG